CUGUGUCAAAUCCGCACUGUUCCCGGAUGCUGCCGCUGUAUCGGCCGUGCGACAUCCCGAAGUUACUGACGAGGUGGCCAAGAACACAAAGAACAGAGUACUAAAGAAUUCUGCGAACAGCGCCUGCAGGGCACAAUGCAGAGUGCCCAUCGGCUUCAGGCGACAAGGCAAUCGGUGGAGAGCCUUCGGGAGAUUCUUUGAUAGCUACCAUGCGUGAAGUCUAUUAAUGUUAUCCAUAUGAUUAUUUCAUAUUAGGAAAUCAAAAAAUGUUGGUGUUGGACCUUUGCAAGUGAUGUCGAGAACGGUUCCCACAAUGGCUCAAAGUGUUUCGUCGCCUUCGAGAAUGGAGCCUUCAUCGUUGUUAACUUCAGUGCUCUCUACACUACAAGGAUGUAAUUAUGGCCCAAUGGAAGCUUUGAUGCUUCCGAUAUG
rnacentral:lncRNA from 1 species